CCGACAAGCUGCACUAGGAUCUGAACUUAAAGGGAAAAAGACGUAAUCACACUCGUUCCAUAUCAGAAGAAAGGGUGAAAGAAAAUUACUCGUCCCCCGCCGUCCCCGCCGGUGGCCGCGCCGUGCGCUCACCUUGGCGGCGUGCAACGCGCCCUCAGCGCGCGUAGAAACCCGGGGCGGGUGCGGAGAGCCCUUCGUCCUGGGAAACGUGGUGCUGCCAGAAAAGCGGCCGCUGUCUCGCCCGCCACGCAACGAACGUUCGUGGGGAACCUGGCGUUAAACGACUCGCUUCUGACUCGGAGUUUCGUACGUAGCAGAGCAGCUCCCUCGCUCGAUCUAUUGAAAAGUCAGUCCCCGGACACAGGGGUUUAAAAAAAAAAAAAAAAAAAAAACUGCUCAAACGCUUUCUUUAGUGGGAGUUCGACCUUAGCUUCCGGGCAGAGCUAUUUAAAAAAGACAUUAAUAAAGAAUAGAAGGUUGAAUUAGCAGCUGGGUGGGGACCCUGCAAAUUGUUACCAGUGAAAAGCAAUUACAAUGACAAGGACAUUUUAUGGAGAAGAGAAGACAAGACCUGGGGAAGGGCUCUUUACAACCGGGAAAGGCUGUUUGCUAUGGUAGAAAGCGUUUGUUCAUCUUGUUGGUAAUGCUGUAUAAAUAAGGAUAUCUGAGUACUCUGAGCCGUCCAAACUUGGGACAGACUGCUGCCAGAGCUGUUGACAUGCUGAUCGCUGAUGGUGCACAAGCCGGUGGCGGAUUUAUAGGCAUGCUACGGAGAAAAUCAUCAGAUAAAAAAAAGAUUCUCCACUGUUGCCAUCUCUGGCCUCACCAGAUGGCUGAACCAAUAGAGACCGCUCAACCUUGGAUCCUCCUAAACUGUUAACGCCCUGGCCUGAAGCGCUGGCAUUCCAUAUGGGUGCUGCUUCUAGUCCCGCUGCUCCUCUCGGAUCCAGCUCUCUGCUAUGCCUGGGAAGGCAGUGGAAGAUGGCCCAAGUCCUUGGGCCCCUGCACCCACGUGGGAGACCCAGAAGAAGCUGGUGGCUGCUGGCUUCGGAUUGGUGCCGAUCCGUUUGUUGCAGCCAAUUGGGGAGUGAACCAGCAGAUGGAAGGACCCCCCCCCACCACCACCGCCUCUCCUCUCUCUGUGUAACUCUGACUUUCAAAUAAAUAAAUAAAUCUUUGAAAAAAAAAAGUUAACAGUGUUUCAAGUACCCAUGGGACAAUACAAAAAUGUUAAACUUUUAUGCCUCUGUAGUCACAAAUUGACUGGAGUAAGAAAUAAUCACAGAAAUAUUAUUCCAAGAACUAUUUCCUGGGGACAGGUAUUGUGGUACAGCGGGUUAAGCCACUGUCUGCAAGGCAGGCAUCCCAUAUGGGUACGGGUUCGUAUCCCAGCUGCUCAACUUCGGCUCCUUCUCCCUGCUUCUGUACCUGGGAAAGAAGAGAAAAUGGCUUCCAUUCUUGGGCCCAUGGCAUCCACAUGGUAGAAGCAGAGGCAGUUCUGAGCUCCUGGUUUUGGUUUGGCCCAGCUCUGGCUGUUGCAGCCAUUGGAGGAAUGAAUUAGCAGAUGGAAGUUUUAUCUGUGAUUCUACCUUUCAAAUAAGUAAGUAAAUGUUUUUUGAAACUAUUUCCUAAAAUGUUGUGAAGGCACAAAGUUACAGAUUUAACAAGAUCAGUGACCUUAAGGAACACAAACUCAAAUGCAUACCCAGGGCAAACAUAAACCAAUGAUACAAGUCAAUGAUAAAGAAAAGAUUCUUGAAACCUCCUAUCAAAAUUUAAGUAGUUGUCUCAGAGUACAGCAGUUUGAAUGGCUUUCUAUUUCUCUUCCAAACUAGAGGCUGGAAAAUAACAGAAUAUAUUUAAAGGGCUUAAGGCAAGAAGAGUGAACCCCCAAUUACAUGACAAGGUAAAAUAGAUUUGAAAUGAAUUCAAAUGCAAUGAAUUUAGGGGGCUGGCGUCAUGGCUAACUUGGCUAAUCCUCCACCUGCAGCACCGGCAUCCCCUAUGGGUGCGGGUUCUAGUCCCGGUUACUCCUCUUCCAGUCCAGCUCUCUGCUGUGGACCGGGAAGGCAGUAGAAGCUGGCCCAAGUCCUUGGGCCCUUGCAGCUGCUUGGGAGACCAGGAAGAAGCACCUGGCUCCUGGCUUCGGAUAGGCCCAGAAACGGCCAUAGCGGCCAUUUGGGGAGUGAACCAACAGAAGGAAGACCUAUUUUUCUGUCUCUCUCUCUCUCUCUCUCUCUCACUGUCUAUACUCUACCCAUCAAAUAAAUAGCAAAAAAAUUCAAUAAAUUUUUACGUUUGUGACUUUUGCUGAAUAUUGAUCCAUUUGACUCAUUAUGCAGUUCUUGCAAUGGCUUUUGCUUGUUCCUGGCAUUAUUCCACAAUUACUGGGCUCUUGCUUGUUCCUGGCAUUACUACACAAUCAGAACUUCUAACCCACUUUGGGGUCAGUGUGUAAUGCCUUCUUGCUGAUGAACAUUAAAAAUUUUUCAAAUUUGGGCCACACCAUGGUAGCCCUUGAAGUUUGUUCCUGUGAGGUUUUUAAUUUUCCAGUGUGAUUGCCCUCUGAUAUUCAUGCACCCUGUUUUUUUUUUUGUUUUUUUUUUGUUUUUUUUUGACAGGCAGAGUUAGAUCAGAGUUGGUGAACUCAAGAGCUUCCAUAGCCUUGGCAGCUCAUGACAAGAGCCUCAGGUGAUUACUGAUGUCAUAAAUGAGAGUGUCAAUUGUUAAAUCAACAAUGGGAGUCACUGUACACCUGCUCCCCAUGUAGGAUCUCUGUCCUUAAUGUGUUGUACUAUGAGAAUUAACGGUAAAACUACUACUCAAACAGUACUUUAUACUUUGUGUGUCUGUGUGGGUGCAGACUGUUGAAAUCUUUACUUAGUAUAUACUAGUUGAUCUGUUUAUAAAGAUAAUUGAAAAUGAAUCUUGAUGAAGAAUGGGAUAGGAGAGGGAGUGGGAGAUGGGAUGGUUGCGGGUGCAAGGGAUGUUAUGGGGGGAA